rnacentral:rRNA from 1 species
UACGUAGGUGGCAAGCGUUGUCCGGAUUUAUUGGGUUUAAAGGGUGCGUAGGCGGCCCUAUAAGUCAGUGCUGAAAUAUCCCGGCUUAACCGGGAGGGUGGCAUUGAUACUGUAGGGCUUGAGUAAAGUUGAGGUUGGCGGAAUUGACGGUGUAGCGGUGAAAUGCUUAGAUAUCGUCAAGAACACCUAUUGCGAAGGCAGCUAACUAAGCUUAACUGACGCUGAGGCACGAAAGUGUGGGGAUCAAACAGG